AGAGUAUGAUCAUGGCUCAGAACGAACGCUGGCGGCGUGCCUAACACAUGCAAGUCGAGCGCGAACGGAGCAAUCCUAGUAGAGCGGCGCACGGGUGCGUAACACGUGGGUAAUCUGCUUCGAAGCCCGGGAUAACCUGCCGAAAGGCAAGCUAAUACCGGAUAAGCCUCCGGGUUCCUCGGAACCUGAAGGAAAAGGUGGCCUCUAUUUAUAAGCUAUCACUUCGAAAUGAGCCCGCGGCCCAUCAGCUAGUUGGCGGGGUAACGGCCCACCAAGGCUACGACGGGUAGCUGGUCUGAGAGGACGAUCAGCCACACUGGAACUGAGACACGGUCCAGACUCCUACGGGAGGCAGCAGUGGGGAAUUUUGCGCAAUGGGCGAAAGCCUGACGCAGCAACGCCGCGUGUGUGAUGAAGGUCUUCGGAUCGUAAAGCACUUUCGACCGGGAAGAAACGCUGUUGGCUAACAUCCAGCAGCCUGACGGUACCGGGAGAAGAAGCACCGGCUAACUCUGUGCCAGCAGCCGCGGUAAUACAGAGGGUGCAAGCGUUGUUCGGAAUUAUUGGGCGUAAAGCGCGUGUAGGCGGCUUAGCAAGUCGGGUGUGAAAGCCCUCGGCUCAACCGAGGAAGUGCGCCCGAAACUGCUGAGCUCGAGUACCGGAGAGGAUGGCGGAAUUCCCCAAGUAGAGGUGAAAUUCGUAGAUAUGGGGAGGAACACCGGUGGCGAAGCGGCCAUCUGGACGAUACUGACGCUGAGACGCGAAAGCGUGGGGAGCAAACAGAUUAGAUACCCUGGUAGUCCACGCCGUAACGAUGAGACUAGUGUCGUGGGUGUUGACCCCGCGUGCCGUAGCAACGCAUUAAGUCUCGCCUGGAAGUACGCGCA
rnacentral:rRNA from 1 species